UAANUGCAGUCGAGCGGUACAGANGGUAGCUUGCUACUUUGCUGACGAGCGGCGGACGGGUGAGUAAUGCUUGGGAACAUGCCUUGAGGUGGGGGACAACAGUUGGAAACGACUGCUAAUACCGCAUAAUGUCUACGGACCAAAGGGGGCUUCGGCUCUCGCCUUUAGAUUGGCCCAAGUGGGAUUAGCUAGUUGGUGAGGUAAUGGCUCACCAAGGCGACGAUCCCUAGCUGGUUUGAGAGGAUGAUCAGCCACACUGGGACUGAGACACGGCCCAGACUCCUACGGGAGGCAGCAGUGGGGAAUAUUGCACAAUGGGCGCAAGCCUGAUGCAGCCAUGCCGCGUGUGUGAAGAAGGCCUUCGGGUUGUAAAGCACUUUCAGUCAGGAGGAAAGGUUAACGGUUAAUACCCGUUAGCUGUGACGUUACUGACAGAAGAAGCACCGGCUAACUCCGUGCCAGCAGCCGCGGUAAUACGGAGGGUGCGAGCGUUAAUCGGAAUUACUGGGCGUAAAGCGUACGCAGGCGGUUUGUUAAGCGAGAUGUGAAAGCCCCGGGCUCAACCUGGGAACUGCAUUUCGAACUGGCAAACUAGAGUGUGAUAGAGGGUGGUAGAAUUUCAGGUGUAGCGGUGAAAUGCGUAGAGAUCUGAAGGAAUACCGAUGGCGAAGGCAGCCACCUGGGUCAACACUGACGCUCAUGUACGAAAGCGUGGGGAGCAAACGGGAUUAGAUACCCCGGUAGUCCACGCCGUAAACGAUGUCUACUANAAGCUCGGANCCUCNGUUCUGUUUUUCAAAGCUAACGCAUUAAGUAAACCGCCUGGGGGAGUACGGCCGCNAGGUUAAAACUCAAAUGAAUUGACNGGGGCCCGCACAANCNGUGGGACCAUGUGGUUUUAAUNCNAUGCAACGCGAANAACCUUACCUACACUUGACAUACANANAACUUACCAAAAAUGGUUUGGUGCCUUCNGGAACUCUGAUACAGGUGCUGCAUGGCUGUCNUCANC
rnacentral:rRNA from 1 species